AUACGGAGGGCGCAAGCGUUGUUCGGAAUCAUUGGGCGUAAAGCGGGUGCAGGCGGUGAAGUCAGUCGGAUGUGAAAGCCCAGGGCCCAACCCUGGAACUGCAUUCGAAACUGCUUCACUAGAGUCCCGGAGGGGAAGGCGGAAUUCCCGGUGUAGAGGUGAAAUUCGUAGAUAUCGGGAGGAACACCAGUGGCGAAGGCGGCCUUCUGGACGGUGACUGACGCUCAGACCCGAAAGCGUGGGGAGCAAACAGGAUUAGAAACCCCGGUAGUCC
rnacentral:rRNA from 1 species